UACGGAGGGUGCAAGCGUUGUUCGGAUUUACUGGGCGUAAAGCGCGCGCAGGUGGAUGGACAAGUCGGAAGUGAAAUCUUGAGGCUCAACCUCGAGGCUGCUCCCGAAACUGUUCGUCUAGGGACUGGUAGAGGCUGGUAGAAUUCCCGGUGUAGCGGUGGAAUGCGUAGAGAUCGGGAGGAACACCAGUGGCGAAGGCGGCCAUCUGGAUCAACACUGACGCUGAGGCACGAAAGCGUGGGGAGCAAACAGG
rnacentral:rRNA from 1 species